GAUGAACGCUGGCGGCGUGCUUAACACAUGCAAGUCGAACGAAGCACCAUAUUUGAUUUCCUCUGGGACUGAUCAUUUUGUGACUGAGUGGCGGACGGGUGAGUAACUCGUGGGUAACCUGCCUUGUACUGGGGGAAAACACUCGGAUACCGCUGCCAACCUCGCAUAAGCGCCCAGCAUCGCAUGAUGCAGUGUGAAAAACUCCGGUGGAAUAAGAUGGACCGGCGUUGGAUUAGCAAGUUGGGGAGGUAACGGCCCACCAAGGCGACGAUCCAUAGACUACAAGAGAGAGUGGCCGGCGACUUUGAGACUGGGACGCAGCGCGAACUCCUGCGGGAGGCGGCAGAGGGGGAUAUUGCACAAUGGGCUGAAGGCUGAUGCAGCGACGCUGCGAGAGCGAAGAUGUAUUGCAGUAAAUGAAGCACGAUCAGCAGGGGAGGUAAUGACGGUACCUAACGAAGAAGCACCGGCUAAAUACGUG
rnacentral:rRNA from 1 species